rnacentral:rRNA from 1 species
GACGAACGCUGGCGGCGUGCCUAAUACAUGCAAGUAGAACGAGUUGCGUACGGGUGAGUAACGCGUUGGUAGCUGCCUCAUAGCGGGGGAUAGCUAUUGGAAACGAUAGCUAAUACCACAUCCUGUGAGAUGGACCUGCGUUGUAUUAGCUAGUUGGUGAGGUAAAGGCUCACCAAGGCGACGAUACAUAGCCGACCUGAGAGGCUGAUCGGCCACACUGGGACUGAGACACGGGCCAGACUCCUACGGUAGGUAGCAGUAGGGAAUCUGCGGGAAUGGACGGAAGUCUGACCUAGCAACUGCGCGUGAGUGAAGAAGGUUUUCGGAUCGUACGGCUCUGUUGUUAGAGACGCGGUAACUAGCCAGAAAGGGACGGCUAACUACGUGCCAGCAGCCGCGGUAAUAC